rnacentral:rRNA from 1 species
UACGAAGGGGGCAAGCGUUGUUCGGAAUUACUGGGCGUAAAGGGCGCGUAGGCGGCUUAUCAAGUCAGGCGUGAAAUUCCCGGGCUCAACCUGGGGGCUGCGCUUGAUACUGAUGAGCUUGAAUGCGGGAGAGGAUAGUGGAAUUCCCAGUGUAGAGGUGAAAUUCGUAGAUAUUGGGAAGAACACCGGUGGCGAAGGCGGCUAUCUGGUCCGUAAUUGACGCUGAGGCGCGAAAGCGUGGGGAGCAAACAGG